rnacentral:misc_RNA from 1 species
GAAAUGCGAUAAGUAAUGUGAAUUGCAGGAUUCAGUGAAUCAUCGAAUCUUUGAACGCACAUUGCGCCCGCCAGUAUUCUGGCGGGCAUGCCUGUUCGAGCGUCAUUUCAACCAUCAAGCCCCCGGCUUGUGUUGGGGACCUGCGGCUGCCCGCAGGCCCUGAAAAACAGUGGCGGGCUCGCUGUCACACCGAGCGUAGUAGCAUACAUUCUCGCUCAGGGCGUGCUGCGGGUUCCGGCCGUUAAACGACCUUCAUAACCCAAGGUUGACCUCGGAUCAGGUAGGAAGACCCGCUGAACUUAAGC